GAUGAAGAACGCAGCGAAAUGCGAUACUUGGUGUGAAUUGCAGAAUCCCGUGAACCAUCGAGUCUUUGAACGCAAGUUGCGCCCGAAGCCAUUAGGCCGAGGGCACGCCUGCCUGGGCGUCACACGUCGUUGCCCCCCCCAUCUACUCCUUCGGGAUUGCGGGGGGCGGAUGAUGGCCUCCCGUGCGCCUCGCCGCGCGGUUGGCAUAAAUGCCAAGUCCUCGGCGACGCACGCCACGACAAUCGGUGGUUGCGAAACCUCGGUUGCCCGUCGUGUGCGGUCGUCGCGCAUCGAGGGCUCGAAAAAAUUGCCGGGUUCCGGCUCGGCUUUCAACGCGACCCCAGGUCAGGCGGGGUUACCCGCUGAAUUUAAGCAUAUCAAUAAGCGGAGGA
rnacentral:misc_RNA from 1 species